ensembl:miRNA
AACCUCUCUUAGCCUCUGUUUCUUUAUUGUGGUAGACACUAUUAGCCUAAAAUGAGAAGGCUAAUAGUAUCUACCACAAUAAAAUUGUUGUGAGGAUA